rnacentral:rRNA from 1 species
AUUGAACGCUGGCGGCAUGCCUUACACAUGCAAGUCGAACGGCAGCAUGGAGAGCUUGCUCUCUGAUGGCGAGUGGCGAACGGGUGAGUAAAGCAUCGGAACGUACCGUGUAGUGGGGGAUAACGUAGCGAAAGUUACGCUAAUACCGCAUACGCACUGAGGUGGAAAGCAGGGGAUCGUAAGACCUUGCGCUAUACGAGCGGCCGAUGUCAGAUUAGCUAGUUGGUAGGGUAAAGGCCUACCAAGGCGACGAUCUGUAGCGGGUCUGAGAGGAUGAUCCGCCACGCUGGGACUGGGACACGGCCCAGACUCCUACGGGAGGCAGCAGUGGGGAAUUUUGGACAAUGGGGGCAACCCUGAUCCAGCCAUGCCGCGUGAAUGAAGAAGGCCUUCGGGUUGUAAAGCUCUUUCGGCCGGGAAGAAAUCGCACAGGCCAAUACCCUGUGUGGAUGACGGUACCGGCAUAAGAAGCACCGGCUAACUACGUGCCAGCAGCCGCCGUAA